rnacentral:lncRNA from 1 species
CCAUCCAUGUUCCAGGCAAUGAAGGUAGGAACUGUAUGAGCCUUACUUGCAUCUAAUGAGCCUCCCUUCAAAGUGGAAAGCAAAAAAUGUGACAAGGAACUAAUUAUAGUGCAGUGAGGCAUCUCUCAGUGUCCAUGAGGCAAUGGUUCCAGGAACACCCCCCACCCACCCCCGACCUCAAGACUCCAAAAUCCAUGGAUGCUCAAGUCCCUUCUAUAAAAUGGUAUAGUAUUUGCAUAUAACUUACACUUAUCCUCCUAGGUACUUUAAAUCAUAUCCGGAUUACUCACAACACCUAAUAUGAUGCAAAUCUAUGUAUGUAAAGAGUUGUAAAUACAAUGUAAAUGUUAUGUACGUAGUUGCCAGGCAAUUGACAUAUUCAAGUUUUGCUUUUUGGAACUUUCUGCAUUUUUUUUCCCCAAAUAUUUUUCAACCGCAGUUGGUUUAAUCCAUGGCUGUGGAACCCCAGGAUACGGAAGGCCAACUUUAUAUGGAAAGCACAAUAAAAAGGAAUGGGAAACUCACGCUGCUUUUGGAAUGGUGUUCAGGCUUCUUGGAAAGGAACACAGGGCUAUUUUCUCGAACUCAAAAACCCACCUCCAAAUAUGUCAGGUGGGCAAGAUUCCUCUUAAAAUGCAAUAUCAUUUUCUGUGUUUUCACAUAUCAUACUGAAAGAGUAAAUUAGAGUAAAAUUUUCUAUUCAGAGAAAAUAACAAGUACUUGGUAGAAUCAUAAUGUAUUUUUAAUAAUUUGAUGUGAUGGCAACUUUAAAUUGCUCUAGUAUGACUUCCAAAAUUUUGUCAUUUCAGGAAAGGUUUAAAGCUGUCCAACACACCAAGAAAUUCACACCAUCUAGUUUAAAGUCAUUAGCAUGUGUAAUACACACUUUAAAGUACCUGAGAUUUUAUCUUUGGAUAACAUGAGAAUUAAUCUGAAGUUUGUCACUCUAUUUCAUUAGAAGGCUUCCAUGACUGAUGCGUAUUUGGCAGGUGGCAACUAAUUUAUAAUCCCAGAAUAAUUUUCAUCUUGUACGACAUUCAACCACUGGCACGAAACUGCUGAUAAGAACAUAUUCUCUGAUAAUCAUGAUGUAUCUCUAGUAUGUAUCCAGGGCUCAAGUCUUAGGAGUCAUUUCAUUUAUUGCUUAGAGCAGUUUUAGGUUUACAGCAUAUCUGAGCAAAGAGGAGAGAGCGCCUGUUUAUCCCCUUUCCCAACACACACCAGCUGCCCCACUAAUCAACAUCCCUCUCCAGAGCAGUGUAUUUGCUACAACCUGUGAACCUAUCUGAACACAUCAUUACGACUCAAAUCCAUAGUUCCCACUGGGGCUCACUCUAGGUAUCUCAUAUUCUACGGAUUUUACAACGGCAUGGAAUCCACCACUGUAUCAGUUAACAGAAUAGUUAACUCUGUCCUAAAAAGCCUCUGUACCCUGACUAUUCAUCCAACCCUCCCCCGACAACCCCUGGCAACUUCUGAGGUUUUUAUUCUCUCCAUAAUUUUCUCUUUUCCAGAAUCUCAUAUAGUUGGAAUCAUACGUCUUAGGCGUCUCCACUUGGUUUCUUUUUCUUAACAAUGUGCAUUGAAGUUUCCUCCACAUCUUUUCAUGGCUUGAUGGCUUAGUUCUCUUUUGCACUAAAUGACAUUGUCUGGAUACACUGCAGUUUAGCGAUUCACUUACGUAAGAACAUCUUGGUUGCUACCAAAUUUUGGCAAUUAGGAACAAAGCUUCUGUCAACAUCUGCAUGCAGAUUAUUGUGUGAACAUAUGUUCUUGAUCCAUCUGAGUAAAAACCAAGAAGCACAAUUGCUGGUUGUAUGGUAAGUAUAUGUUUAAUGAGAAACUGUCAAAUCAUGUUCCGAAGUGGCUGUCCCAUUUUAUAUUCACACUAGCAAGAAUGAAAGUUGAUGUUGCUCCAUAUUCCGACCAUUAUAUGGUGUUGUCAGUGUUUGGGAUUUUAGCCAUUCUAAAAGGUGUAUAGUGAUAGCUCCUUUUUUUUUUUUUUUAAUUUGCAGAUCCCUAAUGACAUAUGAUACGGAGCAUCUUUUCAUAUGGUCAUGUGCUAUUGGUGUAUCUUCUUCAGUAAGGUGUCUAUGAAGGUCUUUUCCCAAUUUUUCACAGAUUGUUCAUUUAAUUAUCAUUGAGUUUUGAGAGUCUGUAUAUUUUAGGAAACAGUCCUUAAAAUCUAUGUCUAUUUUUUUAUUUAAUUUUUUUCCAUUUCUUUGACCGACUUUUUUUCAUUUUUUUUAAAUCUAUGUCUAUUUUUUGCAAAUAUUUUCUCCCCAAUGACUUGUCUUCUUAUUCUUUUGACAUUGUCUUUCACAGAGCAGAAAAAUUUAAUUUUAAUGAAGUCCAGCUUAUCAUUUACCUAUUUCGUGGAUCAUGCCUUUGGCGUUGCAUCUAAAAAGUCAUCACUUAGGUUUUCUCCUCUGUUAUCUUCCAGGUGUUUUAUAUUAUGUCUUAAAUGUAGCUCUCUGAUCCAUGAUCCAUUUUGAGUUAUUUUUUGAGCGUGAAGAGUGUAAGGUUUUUUGGUUUUGGGUUUUUUUUUUUUGUUUUUUUUCGGCUGCGUCCGUCACAUAUGGAAGGGCUCUCUGUUCUCUAGAACUCAUUGUCUGUUUGAUCAAUAUCACACUCUCUUGAUUAUAUCACAGCUUUGUAGAAAUUCCUAACUACAGAUAGCAUUAGUCUUUUGAUUUUGUUCUUCUUUAAUAUUGCAUUGGCUAUGCUGGUUCUUUUGCCUCCCCAGUAUAAGCUUUAGAAUAAAUUUAUUGAUACCCACUUGCUAAAAUUUUGACUGUAAUUGUACAUGUUAAACUGGGAAGCUGACAUCUUGAUAAUAUUGUGUCUCCUUAUCCAUGAACAUGGAAAGCCUCUCUAUUUAUUUAGUUCUUUGAUUUCUUUCAGCAAAGUUGUAUGAUUUUCCUUAUACAGAUCCUGGACAUAUUUUGUUAGGCUUAUUUCUAAGUAUUCCACUUUGAGAGGUGAUAAUGUAAAUGGUAUUUUUCUAAUUACACCUGUUCAGUGCUGGUUAUAAGAAAGCAAUUGAUUCUUUUAUAUUAAUCUUCUAUCAUACAACAUUGAGAAAAUCAAUUAUUAGUUCCAAAAGUUGGUUUUUUGGGCAAAUCUUUCAGAUUUUUUUACAUAGACCACCAUACCAUCUAUGAACAAAGUUGGUUUUAUGUCUUCUUCCCAAUUUGUAUACCUUUUAUUUCCUUUCCCUGACUUAUUGAAUUAGCUAGGGUUUCCAGUAUAACUUUGACAAGGAAUGGUAGAGGUAAUUUAUUUUAUAUUUAUAUUUGUCUAUUUAAUUCUUUUCAAUUUUACAUUUCCAAGUUUUAUUUCAAUAAUGCAUUCAGCAUGUAAUGCUUCAUCAAAAGUUUUCUCUUUCAUUUAGUAAAAAGAUGGACAUUUAUUGUAUAGAAAAAUGUUCCUGAAUGCCCUACUAUUUCCCUUCCCCUGCACCAGCCACAUUGUCCUCCUUGCUCCCAGGCAUGGUCCUGCCUUGGGUUCAUACACUCACUGACCUCUCCAGCCUGAGACUCUUGAAUGGACACUUCCUGUAGUGCUCUCCUCAAAUGUCACUUUAUCAGAAAGGCCUCUGAUCACAUUAUACAAAACAGGACCCCUCCCAACCCUCUCUAUUCCCUUACCCUGCUAAAGUUUUCACCAGAGGACAUAUAACUUACUAGCUAUUUUCUUGUGAUUAUUCUCUUCUCUCCCCAACUAGGAUGAGAUUCUCCUGGGUAGGUAAUUUUAUUUAUUUUUUUUGCCUUUUUUUAGAGCCACACCCUUGGCAUAUGGAAGUCCCCAGGCUAGGGACCAAAUCGGAGCUGAAGUCACUGGUCUAUGCCACAUCCACAGCAACACGGGAUCCAAGCCAUGUCUGUGACCUACACCACAGCUCACGGCAACACCAGAUCCUUAACCCACUGAAUGAGGCCAGGGAUUGAACCUGCAUCCUCAUGGAUGCUAGUCAGAUUCGUUUCUGCUGAGCCACGAUGGGAACUCCUGGGUAGGCAAUUUGACUAUUUCUAGUUCCUGCCAUAUCGCAGCACCUAGAAUUGUGCCUGGCAUGGAAUAUGGAUUCAUUAAUAUUUAAAUAGUUAACUUUAUGACAAAUAUUAGUGAAUAUAUCUUUUUUUUUUCCCCUAGAUCCAAUAGCUUCUUCUCAUUUGUUUGUCAGGAGAUGAUGAAUGGUGUUUCAUUAAGGAAACACCAAUAUAGCACGUGAACUUCCUUCAUGCAUUCGGUUCCUGGAGUCCAGGAGGACCUAACUCAAUGCUCCUUUUCAAAUCUUUAUAAAAUAAUAUAUUUAAAUUCCAUUAACAAUAUUUUAAGCAAUACGAUUUCUUACUAUUAUAGACAGUGUUACUCAAAGCAUGGCCCAAAGGACCAUACUUUUAACAAGACCUGGGAGCUUAGAAAGGCCGAUUCUCAACCUCCACCCCAGGCAGACUGGGCUGGACCCAGCCCUCAGGUGACUCCAACGAGCACUGAACCACGAGAACCACUGCUUCAAGGAAUUGUUAAAUGACUCCUUUCAGUUCUUUGACUUCCUCUUAUAAAUCAUAAUCUACUAUUCCAAGCUUCUAAGUGCAAAGAAUACACCCGGCUGUCACUACACAACAUGGCAUUGCCUCUUCUAUUGGCCAAUUAUCCUUUCCACCUAUAAAACCUGAAAGACACGUUCUCAAGUUGCGGCUCUUAUUUGUUGCAGCUACUUUUGUGGCCACAGCUCAGCUAUCCACCCUUUAGAGUCCUCUCACAUUUGGCAAGCCCUUAAAUUCUUCUUGUUCUAAUCUGAACACCCUGGAAAUACACAGACACAAAAACGAGUUUCUCUCAAAUUUCUUUCUUAAAGACAGAGGCUUUUCUCUCUCUCUCUCUCUCUCUCUCUCUCUCUCUCGGGCCACACCUGCAGCACAUGGAAGUUCCCAGGCUACGGGUCUAAUCAGAGCUGCAGCUGCCAGCUUAUGCCACAGCCACAGCAAUGCAGGAUCUGGGCAGCAUCUGUGACUCUACACCAUAGCUCAUGGCAACGCUGGAUCCUUAACCCACUGAGCGAGGCCAGGGAUUCAAUCUGUGUCCUCAAGGAUACCAGUCGGGUUCGCUACCACUGAGCCACCACGGGGACUCCCAAAAGACAGAGGCUUUGAAACAUUUUGUAACCAGGGGCCUUUUUUUUCUUCCCAAAUGAAAUUCAUUGUAGAUGCUUCAUUUAUAAAACUAUGAGAGCGCUCUGGCUGCUAUGGAUUGACUGGUCUGUCCACCUGUCUACCCAUGUCUUCAGUUACUGUGUGUGGGAGAGAAAUAACAUUUUCCCUUGUACAGUCAUUGUAGUAUUUUGUAUUUUUUGUCACAUGUGGUCAAAGCCUGUUAUAAUUUUGACUCUUUAGAUUGGAGAAUAAAAAACUAAGGGAAACACAUUAAUAUUGUCAAAAUAAUAAAGGGGUCACCAUUCUUGCAAAAAAAAAAA